rnacentral:rRNA from 1 species
CAGUAGCCGCGGUAAUACGUAGGGCGCAAGCGUUAUCCGGAAUUAUUGGGCGUAAAGAGCUCGUAGGCGGUUUGUCGCGUCUGCCGUGAAAGUCCGGGGCUCAACCCCGGAUCUGCGGUGAGUACGGGCAGACUAGAGUGAUGUAGGGGAGACUGGAAUUCCUGGUGUAGCGGUGAAAUGCGCAGAUAUCAGGAGGAACACCGAUGGCGAAGGCAGGUCUCUGGGCAUUAACUGACGCUGAGGAGCGAAAGCAUGGGGAGCGAACAGGAUUAGAUACCCCAGUAGUCCCUGUCUCUUAUAA